CCUCAGAUUCACCACGAGGUGGUGAAGAGUGGCAGUAAAGACAGGGGAAGUCAAACAAACGUCAUUUCCUGUGUUCAGUCCCCGCCUCUUGCAGACCGCGGAUUUUUUAAAAAUAACGACUGUUUGAGGAGUCAGACUGAAGUCAAAGGCUGCACGUUUAUUUAAAGCUUACAUCUGAACAUCAUGACGUCCAUCACUGAUCCCAACAUGAGUGACCGGUUAUCAUUACAUUAUUUAUACCGCUGGAGGAAGUCCAUUCUGUCACGCCAUGGGCUCGUCAUAUGUGUGGUAUGUGAUGAUCAUUCUGCUCUGAACUUCACGAGGCCUUCCUCCACUAUCAACUCUGUGCAGAGUUUGUGAAACCUGUUUUGUGACUCUUAUCUAACCUUGAUCUCCUCGUGCUUCAUGAAGUCUUCCAGCUCAUGGUGGAAUUGUUGCGUUUCUGUUAAUAAUAUUAUAAAGAGUACGGUCUAGACCUGCUUUGUAUGAAAAGUGUCAUGAGAUAACUUUUGUUAUGAUUUGGCGCUAU